UACGUAGGUGGCAAGCGUUGUCCGGAUUUACUGGGCGUAAAGAGCGCGCAGGCGGUCGUUCAAGUCGAGUGUGAAAGCCCCCGGCUCAACUGGGGAGGGUCAUUCGAUACUGAUCGACUCGAAGGCAGGAGAGGGAAGCGGAAUUCCCGGUGUAGUGGUGAAAUGCGUAGAUAUCGGGAGGAACACCAGUGGCGAAGGCGGCUUCCUGGCCUGUUCUUGACGCUGGAGGCGCGAAAGCUAGGGGAGCAAAACGGG
rnacentral:rRNA from 1 species